rnacentral:rRNA from 1 species
UACGUAGGAUCCAAGCGUUGUCCGGAUUUACUGGGUGUAAAGGGUGCGCAGGCGGACUUAUAAGUCAGGGGUGAAAUCUCGCCGCUUAACGGCGAAACUGCCUUUGAUACUGUAGGUCUUGAGUCAGAGAGAGAUUCGUGGAAUUCCGAGUGUAGCAGUGAAAUGUGUAGAUAUUCGGAAGAACACCAGUGGCGAAGGCAGCGAAUUGGCUCUGUACUGACGCUCAGGCACGAAAGCAUGGGGAUCAAAC